rnacentral:rRNA from 1 species
AGUGAACGCUGGCGGCGUGCCUAAUACAUGCAAGUCGAACGAAGUGGCGCACGGGUGAGUAAUAUACAGUUAAUCUGCCCUACACAGAGGAACAACAGUUGGAAACGACUGCUAAUACAUCAUAGUUUAGGAUGAGACUAUAUCGUAUCAGCUAGUUGGUAAGGUAAUGGCUUACAAAGGCUAUGACGCGUAACUGGUCUGAGAGGAUGAUCAGUCACAUUGGAAGUGAGACACGGUCCAAACUCCUCCGGGAGGGAGGAGUAAGGGAUAUUGCGAAAUGGGGGAAACCCUGACGCAGCAACGCCGCGUGGAGGAUGACACUUUUCGGAGCGUAAACUCCGUGUAUCAGGAAAGCGGUACCUAAUGAAUAAGCACCGGCUAACUCCGUGCCAGCAGCCGCGGUAAUUC